rnacentral:rRNA from 1 species
CCCUUAGAUGUUCUGGGCCGCACGCGCGCUACACUGACGAAGUCAGCGAGCAUGUCCUACGCCGACAGGUGCGGGGAAUCUUGUCAAACUUCGUCGUGAUGGGGAUUGAUUAUUGAAAUUCUUGAUCAUCAACGUGGAAUUCCUAGUAAGCGCAAGUCAGCAGCUUGCGUUGAUUACGUCCCUGCCCUUUGUACACACCGCCCGUCGCUACUACCGAUUGAAUGGUUUAGUGAGAUCUUCGGAUUGGCGCCACUGCGGCUCAGCAAUGGGCUCGGUGGAUGCCGAAAAGUUGAUCAAACUUGAUCAUUUAGAGGAAGUAAAAGUCGUAACA